AUUCUUUGGCAGCACAUACACUAAAAAUUGGAACAAUAUGGAAAAUAUUAAAGUGGCCCCUGCACAUGGAUGACACACAAAUUCAUGAAGCAUUCCCUUUUUUU